UACGUAGGGUGCAAGCGUUGUCCGGAAUUAUUGGGCGUAAAGAGCUCGUAGGCGGUCUGUCGCGUCUGCUGUGAAAACUCAGGGCUUAACCCUGAGCUUGCAGUGGGUACGGGCAGACUAGAGUGCGGUAGGGGAGACUGGAUUCCUGGUGUAGCGGUGAAAUGCGCAGAUAGUCAGGAGGAACACCGGUGGCGAAGGCGGGUCUCUGGGCCGUAACUGGACGCUGGAGGAGCGAAAGCAUGGGGAGCGAACAGG
rnacentral:rRNA from 1 species